rnacentral:rRNA from 1 species
UGGGGAAUAUUGCGAACAAAAGGAAACUCUGACGCAGCAACGCCGCGUGAGUGAAGAAGGUUUUCGGAUCGUAAAGCUCUGUCUUUGGGGACGAACAAAAUGACGGUACCCAAGGAGGAAGCCCCGGCUAACUACGUGCCAGCAGCCGCGGUAAUACGUAGGGGGCAAGCGUUGUCCGGAAUCACUGGGCGUAAAGAGCACGUAGGCGGUCUAUUAAGUUAGAUGUGAAAGUUUGCAGCUUAACUGUAAAAGUGCAUCUAAUACUGGCAGACUUGAGUGUCGGAGAGGUAAGCGGAAUUCCUAGUGUAGCGGUGAAAUGCGUAGAGAUUAGGAAGAACACCGGUGGCGAAGGCGGCUUACUGGACGAGGACUGACGCUCAGGUGCGAAAGCGUGGGGAGCAAACA